rnacentral:rRNA from 1 species
CAAGAUGAAUUGCUAUUGAAUAAUAUGUUGAGUAAUGAAAAUGAUUGGACACUUCCUGAACUAACUCCUAAGCCAACUCCGAAGAAAAGAGGUAUUCUAUUUCUCAAUCCUGAAGAUAUGCAAGAGGCAAAGAAAUCUAUGAAAGAAAAGGGUAUUAAAGCUGAAGAUGUUAAGAAUUUACCACCUAUUGAAGAAAUACAUGGUCUUGAUAACCCGACACAGGUAGUAAAGGUAAAUUCUCUCUAUAGAUUUAAUGAAGGUGAUAUUCCUCAUUAUAAGUCUGCUAGCCAAUGCUUAGAUGAGUUUGAUAAUUUUAUUGUUAAACAAGAAAACUUCAAUGCUUAUGUUGGUAGACAAUUGAAAAGCAAUGCUUAUAUGAUUGAACACUUGAGUGAU